UCCUUAACGGGAGCAUUCUGCCGGCCUAUGUAUACUACAAACACUUUAAAGUAUCAGAAUGUAAACGCGUCUAACGCAUCUAUAAUACAACUUUUAGCAACGGAUCUCUUGGCUCUCGCAUCGAUGAAGAACGCAGCGAAAUGCGAUAAGUAAUGUGAAUUGCAGAAUUCAGUGAAUCAUCGAAUCUUUGAACGCACCUUGCGCUCCUUGGUAUUCCGAGGAGCAUGCCUGUUUGAGUGUCAUGGAAUUCUCAACUUAUAAAUCCUUGUGAUCUAUAAGCUUGGACUUGGAGGCUUGCUGGCCCUUGUUGGUCGGCUCCUCUUGAAUGCAUUAGCUCGAUUCCGUAUGGAUCGGCUCUCAGUGUGAUAAUUGUCUACGCUGUGACCGUGAAGUGUUUUGGCGAGCUUCUAACCGUCCAUUAGGACAACUUUUUAACAUCUGACCUCAAAUCAGGUAGGACUACCCGCGAAC
rnacentral:rRNA from 1 species